rnacentral:rRNA from 1 species
UAUCUCUGUAGAGUCUGCAUAUCAAUAAGCGGAGGAAAAGAAACUAACUAGGAUUCCCUUAGUAACGGCGAGUGAAGCGGGAAGAGCUCAAAUUUGAAAUCUUCAAGGUUUUACCUUGACGAAUUGUAGUUUAAAGAAGUGUUUUCUGUUGGUGUUUUGGUAAAAGUUCUUUGGAAUAGGACAUCAUAGAGGGUGAGAAUCCCGUAUUUGACCAUUACUUUCCAGCGUUGUGAUACACUUUCAAAGAGUCGGAUUGUUUGGGAAUGCAGUCCAAAAUGGGUGGUAAAUUUCAUCUAAAGCUAAAUACUGGCGAGAGACCGAUAGCGAACAAGUACCGUGAGGGAAAGAUGAAAAGAACUUUGAAAAGAGAGUUAAACAGUACGUGAAAUUGUCAAAAGGGAAGCGUUUGACACCAGUGUUGUUUUCUCGAAAAUCAAUUAAAAAAGGCAGGAUUUUGUGUUGUAUUGACUUUAUCAGCUUUCUGCACUCUUUUCUUGUCUUUUUUAAUGCACUUUUCGUUUAACAAGUCAACAUCAAUUUCUUUUGUUGUAAAAGGGUCAUUGGAAGGUGGCUUUCUUUUCGGAGAAAGUGUUUAUAGCCUUUGGCCUCUGCAAUCGGAGAGAUUGAGGUCUGCAGCGUAGAUCCUUCGGGGUUAGAUACAUUUGUGCUAAGUUAUAGCCUUUCAUAGACAACUUGUUGACUAUGAUCAGUCAUGUAGCUUACUCACUUAUGCUAUUUUACCUACGCUUAGGAUGUUGACGAUCAGCUGAGCGC